GAGAGCGGCGGACGGGUGAGUAACACGUGGGUAAUCUGCCUAGGAGUGGGGAAUAACCUGGGGAAACUCGGGCUAAUACCGCAUACGUCGUCGGGACUGCGGUCCCGGCAAGAAAGCUGGCCUCUGCUUGCAUGCUAGCGCUCCUAGAGGAGCCCGCGGCUGAUUAGCUAGUUGGUGAGGUAAUGGCUCACCAAGGCGACGAUCAGUAGCCGGCCUGAGAGGGUGAACGGCCACACUGGGACUGAGACACGGCCCAGACUCCUACGGGAGGCAGCAGUGGGGAAUAUUGGACAAUGGGCGAAAGCCUGAUCCAGCAACGCCGCGUGGAGGACGAAGGUCUUCGGAUCGUAAACUCCUGUCAGAUGGGACGAAGGGACGUCGGUAAAUAAUCGACGUCUUUGACGGUACCGUCAGAGGAAGCCCCGGCUAACUCCGUGCCAGCAGCCGCGGUAAUACGGAGGGGGCGAGCGUUAUUCGGAAUUAUUGGGCGUAAAGGGCGCGUAGGUGGCCCUGUAAGUCAAAGGUGAAAUCCCUCGGCUCAACCGAGGAAUUGCCCUUGAAA
rnacentral:rRNA from 1 species